rnacentral:rRNA from 1 species
GACGUAGGGCGCGAGCGUUGUCCGGAUUUAUUGGGCGUAAAGGGCUCGUAGGCGGUUUGUCACGUCAGGAGUGAAACUCGGGGCUCAACCCCGAGCCUGCUUCUGAUACGGGCAGACUGGAGGUAUGCAGGGGAGAACGGAAUUCCUGGUGUAGCGGUGAAAUGACGCAGAUAUCAGGAGGAACACCGGUGGCGAAGGCGGGUCUCUGGGCCGAUACUGACGCUGGAGGAGCGAAAGCGGUGGGGAGCGAACAGG